rnacentral:rRNA from 1 species
UACGUAGGGUGCAAGCGUUGUCCGGAAUUAUUGGGCGUAAAGAGCUUGUAGGCGGUCUGUCGCGUCUGCUGUGAAAAUCCGGGGCUCAACCCCGGACUUGCAGUGGGUACGGGCAGACUAGAGUGUGGUAGGGGAGACUGGAACUCCUGGUGUAGCGGUGAAAUGCGCAGAUAUCAGGAGGAACACCGAUGGCGAAGGCAGGUCUCUGGGCCACUACUGACGCUGAGAAGCGAAAGCAUGGGGAGCGAACAGG